AGAGUUUGAUCCUGGCUCAGGACGAACGCUGGCGGCGUGCUUAACACAUGCAAGUCGAGCGGAAAGGCCCUUUGGGGUACUCGAGCGGCGAACGGGUGAGUAACACGUGAGGAACCUGCCCUUGGCUCUGGGAUAGCUUCGGGAAACCGGGAUUAAUACCGGAUAUGACUCUGACUGGCAUCGGUUGGGGUGGAAAGUUU
rnacentral:rRNA from 1 species